GAAAAGGGCGUGGCCUCCCCGGCCCCCUUCCCGCCGGACUACAAGUCCCGUCAUGCCCCGCGCCGGCCUGCCUGCCUCCUCGCUCUCUUUCUCUCUCUCUCCCCCUCUCUCUCUCUCUCGCAGGAGCCGGGGCUUCCGGCGGCGAGGACCUUGAGCCUCGGAGGGACUGUGCGCGGCGGCGGUCUCGAGAGACGGAAGGAGCCGAGCCCGUCCGUCUGCCGGGAGGAGUAGCCCAGGUGAGGCGGCUGCUCUCCCGCCUUCUCAGGACUGGCUCAGCUCCUCCACAGAACUCAAGAUGUCACAGGAAAUGGAAGAUACCAUUGGUUUGACUGAGGAGAUGUCUCCCGCCCCCACUUCCUCAAGCCAGGGAAUUCUCUUAUCUUCCUGCUGAGAUCCUGCAGUUUUGCCAGUCCUGGACUUUGUGUCCUUUUGAAUGAUUGUGUAUUUAAAGGCUGUAUCUGUGGGUCAGAAAACAACAACUUCUUGGGUUUUAAGGGGAACAUUUUGAAUGAAAUGAACAAGUCCCGUCCAAGUCUCUGAGCUCGGUGGUUUUCCUGCAGAUGUUUCAUUACAAAACUAGGUUACAUCGGUGCUCUCGUGUCACGGUGCUCUCAUGUCACGUGUCUGUCGCAUGUUUAACAAGUUUUGUGGAAGUGUAAUAUAACUGAACAUAUAUAGGAGGAGUGGCAGAACAUAAGGUAGAGUGAAAAGAGGGCUACUACAUAGUACUGCGGGAUGUGGUGGCUCAGUGGAUAAGACGGUGAGCUUGUCGAUCAAAAGGUUGGCAGUUCAGCGGUUUGAAUCCCAAGUGCCACGUAAUGAGGUGAGCUCCCGUUACUUGUCCCAGCUUCUGCCAACCUAGCAGUUCGAAAGCACGUAAAAAAUGCAAGUAGGAAAAUAGGGACCACCUUUGAUGGGAAGGGAACAGUGUUCUGUGCGCCUUUGGCUUUUAGUCAUGCCGGCCACAUGACCAUGGAGACAUCUUCGGAUAGCGCUGGCUCUUCGGCUUUGAAACGGAGAUGAGCACCGCCCCGUAGAGUCGGGAACGACUAGCACAUAUGUGCGAGGGGAAUCUUUACCUUUACCUUUACAUAGCCAUAAGUGAAUCAAAUCUCCCUCGUCCUUGAGUUCCGUUGACCCAUAUCUAACUCAAAAUGAAAAAGGUCUUCUGCAGUCGCGAUAUAAGCCUAAGACUGAAAACCAGGCUUGUCAGAUGUUACAUCUGUUCUAUCCUGCUCUUCAGAGCAGAGAGUGGGUCUCUGACAGAAAACCACUUGAAGAAACUAGAAGUGUUUGAAAUGUGGAUUUACAGACAGAUGUUAGGUAUAAGCUGGGUUAACGAAAAACCACAAAUGUGGAGGUGAUAAGCCACCUGGGAAAGCCAAGGGAAAGCCAUUAAAAAGCGAAAGUUAGAAUAUUUUGGACAUGUGAUGCAACAACCAGAAAAAUACAGCAUCCUUCGCUUAAUCCUUUAAGGAAAGAUUGAAGGCAAAUGAGGUCCAGGCAGAAGAACAUUCAAAAUCUAAGGGACUGGUUGGACAAAACUCAACAGCACUUUUUCAUGCAGCUCUUGACAAAAAUAGGAUUGCCAGCAUGAUCGCCAACAUCCGAUGACGGAUAUGGCACAACAACAAGAAGAUAUCUAACUCCAAGCAGAUGUGCAUUAGUUGAAAAUAUUCCUGUGCCCAGGUAUGAGUACCUUUAAAUCAGUUUAAUUCGACCUUCACAUGUGGACCUAAUCUUUCAGGUCUGACAAUGUAUGACUUUGCAUUUCUUCUUAGAGGAGAUUUGAAAACAUGUCAUUUAGACUUGAGUUUUGAAGUUCAUGAAUUUCUUCCUUUGUUCAAGGGCGUCUGGGUAGAACAUAAAGAUCACUCUAAUAAAAAAAAAAUAUCUGCGGUGAUAUCUCAUGGUUUCCAACAGUGCUUCAAAAUAGCAGGAAAUAAAUUAUUGGUCCAGCUCAUGGACAAAAUAACAGGUCUAGAAAUGCAUUAAGCGUAACAUCUCUUAUUAACUUAAAGUUUUAUUGAUGUGCUAUUUUGAGGUAAUCUAACAAACGGGGAAUUAAAAAGAAAAUUUACAAAUUUGAUGACACUGGUUGAUUGCAGAAGUAAUCCAAGAAAUAGUGCAGUUCUUCCUAAUAGCUAAGUACUUACAUUUACCCAAAUUUAGUUUUCUUUUUAUGUGGAGUAUUUUUCUAUUUCUGUUAAUAUAGAAGUUGUAAUCUUUUUCGAAAAUUAAACUCUAUAUAAAGCCAUAAUGUAUAUUUAUGGGGCUCUAAAACUUUCUGGAAAAAGAAACUAUUAAUGGUUUGUUCUGGAACAGGACUGCUUCACAAUUGCACACAUUAUAGAUGAGAAAUUUUAAUUUGGUGAUAAGGAGAGUUCUGAAGAUACAGAUAGGUUUAGUUUGAAUCUCUUCCCUACUUGUGUUUAUAGGAUUAGUAAAUUUAGCUUUUUCCUAUAUGCAUCAAUACAGAUAAGGAAAAAUAGGGAUAAUUUAAUACAUACUUUACAAAAAAGAUAGAUUUUCAAAUUCUGACUCUAAAUCUUACCAUGAUCGUGUUAUCUGGCAAUGAUGGGAAUAAUUCAACUAAAGGAAAGUUGAUUUAGAAAUAGAAGAUAAAGAAGUCCCAAAGGUACUUGGACUUUAUUUUUCCUUGAAGAUGUUUCGCUUCUCAUCCAAGAAGCAUCAUCGGUUUUCAGAAAAAGCACCUUUGGGACAACCAUGACUGAGAAUCUCCAUGGACAGAAGAUUAAAAAAAAUAUUCAAUGAAUGCUGCUUGAAUACGCAGAAUACAUCACCUCUUAGAUACCCCUUUCUGGACUGAAAACAAAAAAUAAUGAUGUGAAGAACUGCAUCUCUGCAUCCACCAAUAUCCCCUUGGACUCUG